rnacentral:rRNA from 1 species
UAGGGAAUAUUGCUCAAUGGGCGAAAGCCUGAAGCAGCAACGCCGCGUGCGCGAUGAAGGUCUUCGGAUCGUAAAGCGCUUUUCUGCGAGAUGAGAAAGGACAGUAUCGUAGGAAUAAGUCUCGGCUAACUACGUGCCAGCAGCCGCGGUAACACGUAGGAGGCGAGCGUUAUCCGGAUUCACUGGGCGUAAAGCGCGUGCAGGCGGUUUGGUAAGUUAGGCGUGAAAGCUCCCGGCUCAACUGGGAGAGGUCGUCUAAUACUACCAGGCUAGAGAGCAGAAGAGGAAGAUGGAAUUCCCGGUGUAGUGGUGAAAUGCGUAGAUAUCGGGAGGAACACCAGUGGCGAAGGCGAUCUUCUGGUCUGUUUCUGACGCUCAGACGCGACAGCUAGGGUAGUAAACGGGAUUAGAGACCCCGGUAAUCCUAGCCGUAAACGAUGUGAACUUGGCGUUGGUGGCUUAAACACCAUCAGUGCCGAAGCAAACGCGAUAAGUUCACCGCCUGGGGACUACGGCCGCAAGGUUA